rnacentral:ncRNA from 1 species
AUGCUGAAGUUUGGUGGGGAAUCAGUGUGAAAUUCACUGGCUGUGCCUGCAACCGUAAAGUCGGAGUGCCACCCAGUAAAGUCCUUUGUCGAAUGAUGGCCAGGAAAAGUCUAGUUCUGCAAUUUAAAA